GAUGAACGCUGGCGGCGUGCCUAAUACAUGCAAGUCGAGCGAACAGACGCGGAGCUUGCUCCUCUGACGUUAGCGGCGGACGGGUGAGUAACACGUGGAUAACCUACCUAUAAGACUGGGAUAACUUCGGGAAACCGGAGCUAAUACCGGAUAAUAUAUUGAACCGCAUGGUUCAAUAGUGAAAGACGGUUUUGCUGUCACUUAUAGAUGGAUCCGCGCCGCAUUAGCUAGUUGGUAAGGUAACGGCUUACCAAGGCGACGAUGCGGAGCCGACCUGAGAGGGUGAUCGGCCACACUGGAACUGAGACACGGUCCAGACUCCUACGGGAGGCAGCAGUAGGGAAUCUUCCGCAAUGGGCGAAAGCCUGACGGAGCAACGCCGCGUGAGUGAUGAAGGUCUUCGGAUCGUAAAACUCUGUUAUUAGGGAAGAACAAAUGUGUAAGUAACUAUGCACGUCUUGACGGUACCUAAUCAGAAAGCCACGGCUAACUACGUG
rnacentral:rRNA from 1 species